rnacentral:rRNA from 1 species
AAACCGCUUAGGGGUUAAACCCGAUGAACCUGAAUAUCUGAAUUGGGAAAUUCAAUAUGAUUCAAUUAUUUUUAAUUUUUAUUAAUAAAAAAAUUGUAUGCACUUUUCCCAUAGUAAGCCAUUGCAAUCCAUUAAUUAUUUUAACAUUAUUUUGUAAUGUUAAUCGGUUUAUUAAAAGGCCCAAUUGUUUUGUUUAUUCUAGCUGUGGUAAUUUCUCCAAUUAUCAUAUGGAUAAUAGCAACGCGGUGACCCAAUAAACAUUUGAUGGAGUUUAUGAAUCAUCCAAACAUAUUUGUUUAUGUAACACGGUCAAUAUACAUAUAUUUUUAUUUAUGUUGGCGCAGGUGUUCGGAUGCAUUCGAUUGGCAAUGCGAUAGAUUUGGGAUACCUUCGGGACCCGUCUUGAAACACGGACCAAGAAGUUUAACAUAGGCGCAAGUCAUUGGGUAGAUUGUUGAAACCUAAGGGCGUAAUUAAAAUAACUAGUUUUUUUUAACGAAUGGGAUUACAAGAAUUUUUUUUUUUAUUUAUUGAAAAAAAUGUUCUUCUCCAUCCCGGGGCGUUCUAUACGAACAUGAUUUAAGCGAUUGAGUCCUCUGUUCAAGAGCGUACCUUGAGCGUUUAUGCUGA